GAUCAUGGCUCAGAUUGAACGCUGGCGGCAGGCCUAACACAUGCAAGUCGAACGGUAACAGGAAACAGCUUGCUGUUUCGCUGACGAGUGGCGGACGGGUGAGUAAUGUCUGGGAAACUGCCUGAUGGAGGGGGAUAACUACUGGAAACGGUAGCUAAUACCGCAUAACGUCGCAAGACCAAAGAGGGGGGACCCUCGGGCCUCUUGCCAUCGGAUGUGCCCAGAUGGGAUUAGCUUGUUGGUGGGGUAACGGCUCACCAAGGCGACGAUCCCUAGCUGGUCUGAGAGGAUGACCAGCCACACUGGAACUGAGACACGGUCCAGACUCCUACGGGAGGCAGCAGUGGGGAAUAUUGCACAAUGGGCGCAAGCCUGAUGCAGCCAUGCCGCGUGUAUGAAGAAGGCCUUCGGGUUGUAAAGUACUUUCAGCGGGGAGGAAGGGAGUAAAGUUAAUACCUUUGCUCAUUGACGUUACCCGCAGAAGAAGCACCGGCUAACUCCGUG
rnacentral:rRNA from 1 species